GUCUGUGUGGCGUAAUUGGUUGGCGCGUUCGGCUGUUAACCGAAAGGUUGCUGGUUCAAGCCCAGCCAGGGACG
rfam:Ciona savignyi cont_30127, whole genome shotgun sequence.